AAACUUGAGCUAAUACCAUAUAAUGUCUUCGGACCAAAGAUUUAUCGCCCUGGAGAUAAGCCCGCGUAGGAUUAGCUAGUUGGUGGGGUAAAGGCUCACCAAGGCGACGAUCCUUAGCUGGUCUGAGAGGAUGAUCAGCCACACUGGGACUGAGACACGGCCCAGACUCCUACGGGAGGCAGCAGUGGGGGAAUAUUGGACAAUGGGCGAAAGCCUGAUCCAGCAAUGCCGCGUGAGUGAUGAAGGCCUUCGGGUUGUAAAGCUCUUUUACUCGGGACGAUAAUGACGGUACCGAGAGAAUAAGCCCCGGCUAACUCCGUG
rnacentral:rRNA from 1 species